AUUGAACGCUGGCGGCAUGCCUUACACAUGCAAGUCGAACGGCAGCGGACCUUCGGGUGCCGGCGAGUGGCGAACGGGUGAGUAAUAUAUCGGAACGUACCUUUCAGUGGGGGAUAACGUAGCGAAAGUUACGCUAAUACCGCAUAUUCUGUGAGCAGGAAAGCAGGGGAUCGCAAGACCUUGCGCUGAUUGAGCGGCCGAUAUCAGAUUAGCUAGUUGGUGAGGUAAAGGCUCACCAAGGCGACGAUCUGUAGCGGGUCUGAGAGGAUGAUCCGCCACACUGGAACUGAGACACGGUCCAGACUCCUACGGGAGGCAGCAGUGGGGAAUUUUGGACAAUGGGCGCAAGCCUGAUCCAGCCAUGCCGCGUGAGUGAAGAAGGCCUCGGUUGUAAGACUC
rnacentral:rRNA from 1 species